GACGAACGCUGGCGGCGUGCUUAACACAUGCAAGUCGAACGGAAAGGCCCUGCUUUUGUGGGGUGCUCGAGUGGCGAACGGGCGAGUAACACGUGAGUAACCUGCCCUUGACUUUGGGAUAACUUCAGGAAACUGGGGCUAAUACCGGAUAGGAGCUCCUGCUGCAUGGUGGGGGUUGGAGAGUUUCGGCGGUUGGGGAUGGACUCGCGGCUUAUCAGCUUGUUGGUGGGGUAGUGGCUUACCAAGGCUUUGACGGGUAGCCGGCCUGAGAGGGUGACCGGCCACAUUGGGACUGAGAUACGGCCCAGACUCCUACGGGAGGCAGCAGUGGGGAAUAUUGCACAAUGGGCGGAAGCCUGAUGCAGCAACGCCGCGUGCGGGAUGACGGCCUUCGGGUUGUAAACCGCUUUCGCCUGUGACGAAGCGUGAGUGACGGUAAUGGGUAAAGAAGCACCGGCUAACUACGUGCCAGCAGCCGCGGUGAUACGUAGGGUGCGAGCGUUGUCCGGAUUUAUUGGGCGUAAAGGGCUCGUAGGUGGUUGAUCGCGUCGGAAGUGUAAUCUUGGGGCUUAACCCUGAGCGUGCUUUCGAUACGGGUUGACUUGAGGAAGGUAGGGGAGAAUGGAAUUCCUGGUGGAGCGGUGGAAUGCGCAGAUAUCAGGAGGAACACCAGUGGCGAAGGCGGUUCUCUGGGCCUUUCCUGACGCUGAGGAGCGAAAGCGUGGGGAGCGAACAGGCUUAGAUACCCUGGUAGUCCACGCUGUAAACGGUGGGUACUAGGUGUGGGGUCCAUUCCACGGGUUCCGUGCCGUAGCUAACGCUUUAAGUACCCCGCCUGGGGAGUACGGCCGCAAGGCUAAAACUCAAAGGAAUUGACGGGGCCCCGCACAAGCGGCGGAGCAUGCGGAUUAAUUCGAUGCAACGCGUAGAACCUUACCUGGGUUUGACAUGGAUCGGGAGUGCUCAGAGAUGGGUGUGCCUCUUUUGGGGUCGGUUCACAGGUGGUGCAUGGCUGUCGUCAGCUCGUGUCGUGAGAUGUUGGGUUAAGUCCCGCAACGAGCGCAACCCUUGUUCACUGUUGCCAGCACGUUAUGGUGGGGACUCAGUGGAGACCGCCGGGGUCAACUCGGAGGAAGGUGGGGAUGACGUCAAGUCAUCAUGCCCCUUAUGUCCAGGGCUUCACGCAUGCUACAAUGGCUGGUACAGAGAGUGGCGAGCCUGUGAGGGUGAGCGAAUCUCGGAAAGCCGGUCUCAGUUCGGAUUGGGGUCUGCAACUCGACCUCAUGAAGUCGGAGUCGCUAGUAAUCGCAGAUCAGCAACGCUGCGGUGAAUACGUUCCCGGG
rnacentral:rRNA from 1 species